CACGUAGGCACCAAGCGUUGUCCGGAUUUAUUGGGCGUAAAGAGCUCGUAGGCGGUUCGGUAAGUCGGGUGUGAAAACUCUGGGCUCAACCCAGAGCCGCCACCCGAUACUGCUGUGACUUGAGUUCGGUAGGGGAGCGGGGAAUUCCUGGUGUAGCGGUGAAAUGCGCAGAUAUCAGGAGGAACACCAGUGGCGAAGGCGCCGCUCUGGGCCGACACUGACGUGAGGAGCGAAAGCCAGGGGAGCAAACGGG
rnacentral:rRNA from 1 species